rnacentral:rRNA from 1 species
UUAUCUUAGCAGAACACAGGGAUUGCCCUAGUAACGGCGAGUGAAGCGGCAACAGCUCAAAUUUGAAAUCUGGCUCUCUUUGGGGGUCCGAGUUGUAAUUUGCAGAGGAUGCUUUGGCAUUGGCGGCGGUCUAAGUUCCUUGGAACAGGACAUCGCAGAGGGUGAGAAUCCCGUACGUGGGCGCCUGCCUUUGCCGUGUAAAGCUCCUUCGACGAGUCGAGUUGUUUGGGAAUGCAGCUCUAAAUGGGAGGUAAAUUUCUUCUAAAGCUAAAUACCGGCCAGAGACCGAUAGCGCACAAGUAGAGUGAUCGAAAGAUGAAAAGUACUUUGGAAAGAGAGUCAAAAAGCACGUGAAAUUGUUGAAAGGGAAGCGCUUGCAGCCAGACUUGCCCGCAGUUGCUCACCUAGGCUUUGGCCUGGGGCACUCUUCUGCGGGCAGGCCAGCAUCAGUUUGGGCGGUCGGACAAAGGCCUCUGUCAAGUAUCUCCCUUCGGGGUGACCUUAUAGGGGAGGCGUAAUGCGACCAGCCCGGACUGAGGUCCGCGCAUCUGCUAGGAUGCUGGCGUAAUGGCUGUAAGCGGCCCGUCUUGAAACACRGACCAAGGAGUCUAACAUCUAUGCGAGUGUUUGGGUGUCAAGCCCGGGCGCGCAAUGAAAGUGAACGGAGGUGGGAACCCUUUGGGUGCACCAUCGACCGAUCCUGAUGUCUUCGGAUGGAUUUGAGUAAGAGCAUAGCUGUUGGGACCCGAAAGAUGGUGAACUAUGCUUGAAUAGGGUGAAGCCAGAGGAAACUCUGGUGGAGGCUCGCAGCGGUUCUGACGUGCAAAUCGAUCGUCAAAUUUGGGCAUAGGGGCGAAAGACUAAUC